UGUUAAGGUGAUAAAACAUUG
ensembl:piRNA 21ur-5076 ncRNA